rnacentral:rRNA from 1 species
GUGGGGAAUAUUGGACAAUGGGCGAAAGCCUGAUCCAGCCAUGCCGCGUGUGUGAAGAAGGUCUUCGGAUUGUAAAGCACUUUAAGUUGGGAGGAAGGGCAGUAAGUUAAUACCUUGCUGUUUUGACGUUACCGACAGAAUAAGCACCGGCUAACUUCGUGCCAGCAGCCGCGGUAAUACGAAGGGUGCAAGCGUUAAUCGGAAUUACUGGGCGUAAAGCGCGCGUAGGUGGUUUUGUAAGUUGGAGGUGAAAUCCCCGGGCUCAACCUGGGAACUGCCUCCAAAACUGCAUGACUAGAGUACGGUAGAGGGUAGUGGAAGUUCCUGUGUAGCGGUGAAAUGCGUAGAUAUAGGAAGGAACACCAGUGGCGAAGGCGACUACCUGGACUGAUACUGACACUGAGGUGCGAAAGCGUGGGGAGCAAACAGGAUUAGAAACCCUGGUAGUCC